GCCGAUACACGGUGGAUAGCCA
rnacentral:siRNA from 1 species